rnacentral:miRNA from 1 species
CGUGUGUGUGUGUGUGUGUGUGUGUGUGCGCGCGCAUGCGCACGCAUGCAUAUACACAAACACA